GCAAUGCCGCGUGCAGGAUGAAGGCCUUCGGGUUGUAAACUGCUUUUGUACGGAACGAAACGGUUCUCCUUAAUACGGAGGGCUAAUGACGGUACCGUAAGAAUAAGCACCGGCUAACUACGUGCCAGCAGCCGCGGUAAUACGUAGGGUGCGAGCGUUAAUCGGAAUUACUGGGCGUAAAGCGUGCGCAGGCGGUUAUAUAAGACAGAUGUGAAAUCCCCGGGCUCAACCUGGGACCUGCAUUUGUGACUGUAUAGCUAGAGUACGGUAGAGGGGGAUGGAAUUCCGCGUGUAGCAGUGAAAUGCGUAGAUAUGCGGAGGAACACCGAUGGCGAAGGCAAUCCCCUGGACCUGUACUGACGCUCAUGCACGAAAGCGUGGGGAGCAAACAGGAUUAGAUACCCUGGUAGUCCACGCCCUAAACGAUGUCAACUGGUUGUUGGGUCUUCACUGACUCAGUAACGAAGCU
rnacentral:rRNA from 1 species